ensembl:lncRNA
AUGCUGGAAAUAUCGACCUCCGCGAGAACACUGCAAUACCAAGGCCUCGGAAGCACUGAGGGUCUAUCCGACAAGCCAACGAUGAUGUGACAGCGAGAAGACGACCAAGGUCUGGAAAGUGUUCUGUGGUUUUUCUUCUUCUCUGUGGAUCCGUCAUAACAAGGCAGUAUCUUAAUGGGAACAGGACGGACAAUGCGGGAGAGCUUCUGAAGGGGCGAGUCAUUCAAGCUCAUGGAAUCAAUUAACGAGCACUUUGCGCCAUGGUCAGUCCUCUGACAAACACGGCACAAGUCGCAAAUGAAAAAUGUCACUUGGUUUAUUUCAUAUUCCGUCCUGAUGACCACCCAACCAUUAUGGGGUCUACUCUGCAUGGGUGACUUGUUAAUCGUGCUUCCUUUGACCUGCCGUCAACCUGUAGGUCAAAGCAGCAAUGUCAAGUGCACUGCGGCUUGUGCAGUGAGUAGCUAAGCCGGUACUGUGUACACAGGGAGGCUAAUAAUGGCUGAGAGAUUCCAACACACCCUCCUCCACAAUCAACACAACAAGGAACAGUGUGGUCAGGGAUAGCCUUCGCUUGCUGCUAAUAUCAACCGUUGAAUCAGCUGAGCGACCGGCAAUUAAAAAAACCAAAAACCAACUCGCCCGCCAGAUGUGUUGUUCGUCCUGGAACGAGUGUACGCGUAAUUAUCCACAAACAACAUACAGCACACACAGGCUUAUGGUUUUGUCAACAAGAUAAAUCGUAUGUUGCAUCAUUUCCCUUGCUCCUGCAAACAAGCAAACCAAGCAGUAGAGAUGCCAUUUCUCGUUUGUUUGUCUUUGCAACGGUUGUAAUUGUUAUCCUGCUGCCAAGGAAUACUAGUGUCUGGGAUUCCCUCCAUGGAGAACGGCGAGCGCCAGGUGUAUUAUAUCCUGACGCUCAGAUGGGCAACAGAGAGAAGAAGGCCUAGUUUCAUGUUUGUAAGUGGGAAAAAAAGUGAGAUCAUUUUUCUUUUAGCUGUGCUCUGAACUGCUACUCUAUCCGUUUGGCUGCUUAUCAUCCUGUGACAUAACAUUUCCAAUGAAGAGGAUGACUACUACUAGAUUACUAAGAUGUGCAGUACUGCUACUGAGGUACUGCAAGUUAGCACACAUGAAGGACACAGCGGGUGGAAGGCAAAGUCACACAAGCAUGGCCGUCCGUGGGUCCAGGUUCAAGGAGUACUCAGACUCAGAACUCUCCCAGAGGCAGUGGUAUUUCAGGAGCCGACUCGACAAUCAGUCAGCUGCUAUUUUCCUACACAAGUUAGGAAUUGAACCUGUCACUCAGUCAGCUCGCACAACAGUGGUUUAUAAUGUUGUUGUGGGGCAAAGGCACACCGUGGUCAUGACCAGAAUUUCAAGGAACACAAUGGUAACUUGUAUAGAAUAAUUAUGUAAUUUUUAAUCUGAUACGUUAUUUUAAUCUUUUGUAACAUUAAAAAAAGAGAGCAGCUGGUCAUUGAAGUAUGAAUUCAGGCUCAUUCAUUCAUAUCAGGGAUAUUGUCAACUAUAAAAUGAGACCGAACAAAUGCAUCAUAGAGCAUGUUGUGAAAACUGUAUUAAUAUACAGGAACAACUUUCAAUAUUGUCUCACUCACUCACUGGCAUUUCUGUCAUUUGUAUUAAAGCCCACAAAAUGUCACUGCACACCUCGCCACUCCUGGCCUGAAGCAAGCUUGCAUCUUAGCUUCCUAGCAUGCGGCGCACGUAUGGUUGAACUUUGCUGACUAAUAUCAUGUUGUCCGCAGAGAGGUCCCUGAAAGGGUGACUUGGCUUUGCAUAGCUUAAGCAAGGUAAACAAUGAUUGACUUGUACAUUUUCUUUGUAGUCGGAUUUCAAAACCUAACUUAUACAGCUGAAGCGGAAAAUCGUAUCUGUUGGUACACUUAAGGUUGUGGUUUCUCCUAUAUGAAUUGUCUGCUUUAAUAUGUUCGUAACCACACCAGAGAUGAAGAAGCUUCAAGGCUACAUGGCAUAUUUAAACCAUGCAAAGAUUCAUUAAUUUUAAUUGUUCUAGUUUUCCUCUAUUGUCUUAAUAAUGCUUGGCUUUAUUUCCAACAUGUAUUAAUUUUUAAUCAAUGGCUAUGCUAUUUCUUAUUUAAAAUGGUCUUUGUAAUUAAAAGUAUUUUUCAUCUCAAGC